GACGAACGCUGGCGGCAUGCUUAACACAUGCAAGUCGAACGGAAAGGCCCUGCUUUUGUGGGGUGCUCGAGUGGCGAACGGGUGAGUAACACGUGAGUAACCUGCCCUUGACUUUGGGAUAACUUCAGGAAACUGGGGCUAAUACCGGAUAGGAGCUCCUGCUGCAUGGUGGGGGUUGGAAAGUUUCGGCGGUUGGGGAUGGACUCGCGGCUUAUCAGCUUGUUGGUGGGGUAGUGGCUUACCAAGGCUUUGACGGGUAGCCGGCCUGAGAGGGUGACCGGCCACAUUGGGACUGAGAUACGGCCCAGACUCCUACGGGAGGCAGCAGUGGGGAAUAUUGCACAAUGGGCGGAAGCCUGAUGCAGCAACGCCGCGUGCGGGAUGACGGCCUUCGGGUUGUAAACCGCUUUCGCCUGUGACGAAGCGUGAGUGACGGUAAUGGGUAAAGAAGCACCGGCUAACUACGUGCCAGCAGCCGCGGUGAUACGUAGGGUGCGAGCGUUGUCCGGAUUUAUUGGGCGUAAAGGGCUCGUAGGUGGUUGAUCGCGUCGGAAGUGUAAUCUUGGGGCUUAACCCUGAGCGUGCUUUCGAUACGGGUUGACUUGAGGAAGGUAGGGGAGAAUGGAAUUCCUGGUGGAGCGGUGGAAUGCGCAGAUAUCAGGAGGAACGCCAGUGGCGAAGGCGGUUCUCUGGGCCUUUCCUGACGCUGAGGAGCGAAAGCGUGGGGAGCGAACAGGCUUAGAUACCCUGGUAGUCCACGCUGUAAACGGUGGGUACUAGGUGUGGGGUCCAUUCCACGGGUUCCGUGCCGUAGCUAACGCUUUAAGUACCCCGCCUGGGGAGUACGGCCGCAAGGCUAAAACUCAAAGGAAUUGACGGGGCCCCGCACAAGCGGCGGAGCAUGCGGAUUAAUUCGAUGCAACGCGUAGAACCUUACCUGGGUUUGACAUGGAUCGGGAGCGCUCAGAGAUGGGUGUGCCUCUUUUGGGGUCGGUUCACAGGUGGUGCAUGGCUGUCGUCAGCUCGUGUCGUGAGAUGUUGGGUUAAGUCCCGCAACGAGCGCAACCCUUGUUCACUGUUGCCAGCACGUUAUGGUGGGGACUCAGUGGAGACCGCCGGGGUCAACUCGGAGGAAGGUGGGGAUGACGUCAAGUCAUCAUGCCCCUUAUGUCCAGGGCUUCACGCAUGCUACAAUGGCUGGUACAGAGAGUGGCGAGCCUGUGAGGGUGAGCGAAUCUCGGAAAGCCGGUCUCAGUUCGGAUUGGGGUCUGCAACUCGACCUCAUGAAGUCGGAGUCGCUAGUAAUCGCAGAUCAGCAACGCUGCGGUGAAUACGUUCCCGGG
rnacentral:rRNA from 1 species